AUCUAGCUGAGGAGUCCUAGAAUAGGACGAAAUACAGGUCCUGGAU
rnacentral:hammerhead_ribozyme from 1 species